rnacentral:rRNA from 2 species
UACAGAGGGUGCGAGCGUUGUCCGGAAUCACUGGGCGUAAAGGGCGCGUAGGUGGCGCGACAAGUCGGUGGUGAAAGUUCGACGCUCAACGUCGAAUCGGCCACCGAUACUGUUGGGCUCGAGCACUGUAGAGGCUAAUGGAAUUCCGGGUGUAGCGGUGGAAUGCGUAGAGAUCCGGAAGAACACCGGUGGCGAAGGCGGUUAGCUGGGCAGUUGCUGACACUGAGGCGCGACAGCGUGGGGAGCAAACAGG